AUUGAACGCUGGCGGCAUGCCUUACACAUGCAAGUCGAACGGCAGCAUAGGAGCUUGCUCCUGAUGGCGAGUGGCGAACGGGUGAGUAAUAUAUCGGAACGUGCCCUAGAGUGGGGGAUAACUAGUCGAAAGACUAGCUAAUACCGCAUACGAUCUACGGAUGAAAGUGGGGGAUCGCAAGACCUCAUGCUCCUGGAGCGGCCGAUAUCUGAUUAGCUAGUUGGUGGGGUAAAAGCUCACCAAGGCGACGAUCAGUAGCUGGUCUGAGAGGACGACCAGCCACACUGGGACUGAGACACGGCCCAGACUCCUACGGGAGGCAGCAGUGGGGAAUUUUGGACAAUGGGGGCAACCCUGAUCCAGCAAUGCCGCGUGAGUGAAGAAGGCCUUCGGGUUGUAAAGCUCUUUUGUCAGGGAAGAAACGGUUCUGGAUAAUACCUGGAGCUAAUGACGGUACCUGAAGAAUAAGCACCGGCUAACUACGUGCCAGCAGCCGCCGCCGUAA
rnacentral:rRNA from 1 species